rnacentral:rRNA from 1 species
GGGAGGGGGCCAGCGUUGUUCGGAAUUAUUGGGCGUAAAGGGCGCGUAGGCGGCCUGGUAAGUCAGUCGUGAAAUCCCUCGGCUCAACCGAGGAACUGCGUCUGAUACUGCCGAGCUUGAGUCCCGGAGAGGGUAGCGAAUCCCAGUGUAGCGGUGAAAUGCGUAGAUAUUGGGAGGAACACCAGUGGCGAAGGCGGCUACCUGGACGGGUACUGACGCUGAGGCGCGAAAGCGUGGGGAGCAAACAGGAUUAGAUACCCUGGUAGUCCACGCCGUAAACGAUGGGCACUUGGUGAUGCGGGUAUCGACCCCCCCUGCAGUGCCGAAGCUAACGCAUUAAGUGCCCCCGCCUGGGGAGUACGGUCGCAAGGCUG